AUUGAACGCUGGCGGCAGGCCUAACACAUGCAAGUCGAGCGGAUGAAGGGAGCUUGCUCCUGGAUUCAGCGGCGGACGGGUGAGUAAUGCCUAGGAAUCUGCCUGGUAGUGGGGGAUAACGUCCGGAAACGGGCGCUAAUACCGCAUACGUCCUGAGGGAGAAAGUGGGGGAUCUUCGGACCUCACGCUAUCAGAUGAGCCUAGGUCGGAUUAGCUAGUUGGUGGGGUAAAGGCCUACCAAGGCGACGAUCCGUAACUGGUCUGAGAGGAUGAUCAGUCACACGGAAACUGAGAAACGGUCAGACUCCUACGGGAGGCAGCAGUGGGGAAUAUUGGACAAUGGGCGAAAGCCUGAUCCAGCCAUGCCGCGUGUGUGAAGAAGGUCUUCGGAUUGUAAAGCACUUUAAGUUGGGAGGAAGGGCAGUAAGUUAAUACCUUGCUGUUUUGACGUUACCAACAGAAUAAGCACCGGCUAACUUCGUG
rnacentral:rRNA from 1 species